GACAGAGGGGGCGAGCGUUGUCCGGAGUCACUGGGCGUAAAGCGCGCGCAGGCGGCAACCUAAGUGUCGUGUGAAAGCCCCCGGCUCAACCGGGGGAGGCCAUGGCAAACUGGGUCGCUCGAGCUGCGGAGAGGCCCCUCGAAUUGCCGGUGUAGCGGUGAAAUGCGUAGAGAUCGGCAGGAAGACCAAGGGGGAAGCAAGGGGGCGGGCCGCAGGCUGACCUUGAGGCGCGACAGCGUGGGGAGCAAACCGG
rnacentral:rRNA from 1 species